rnacentral:rRNA from 1 species
CCUACGGUGUGCUGCAGUGAGGAAUAUUGGUCAAUGGACGAGAGUCUGAACCAGCCAAGUAGCGUGAAGGAUGCCUGCCCUACGGGUUGUAAACUUCUUUUAUAAAGGAAUAAAGUGAGGCACGUGUGCCUUUUUGUAUGUACUUUAUGAAUAAGGAACGGCUAACUCCGUGCCAGCAGCCGCGGUAAUACGGAGGAUCCGAGCGUUAUCCGGAUUUAUUAGGUUUAAAGGGAGCGUAGAUGGGUUGUUAAGUCAGUUGUGAAAGUUUGCGGCUCAACCGUAACAUUGCAAUUGUUACUGGCAGUCUUGAGUACAGUUGAGGUAGGCGGAAUUCGUGGUGUAGCGGUGAAAUGCUUAGAUAUCACGAAGAACUCCGAUUGCGAAGGCAGCUUACUAAACUGCCACUGACAUUGAUGCUCGAAAGUGUGGGUAUCAAACAGGAUUAGAUACCCCGGUAGUC